GUAUAAGCUUUGAAGGAGAAAAGUACAUUGGAUGAGUUUUAUAGAGAGUCAAGAAUGGUGGAAUCUUGAUAAAUUAACCUUUGGAAAGAAGCUCUGGAGCUAUAAUCUGAAAAUCAAGUUUAAUCUUUUUAUUAAAUUUGGAGUAGGUUUAUGGGAGACAUUCCUUAUUAUGUGUUAAGUGGGCUUAUAGCCAAUUUAGGUGGUACCGCGAAGUUAACCCUUCGUCCUAUAC
rnacentral:ncRNA from 1 species